CCAUAGCCAAGUGGAUAAAGUGUCGGACUUGUGAUCCGUUUAUCCCGAGUUCGAAUCUCGCAGUGG
rnacentral:tRNA from 1 species